GAUGGCGAAGGCAGCUUCCUGGCAUCAUACUGACACUGAGGCUCGAAAGCGUGGGUAGCAAACAGGAUUAGAUACCCUGGUAGUCCACGCCGUAAACGAUGUCUACUAGUCGUUGGGGAACUUGAUUCCUUAGUGACGCAGCUAACGCAAUAAGUAGACCGCCUGGGGAGUACGGCCGCAAGGUUAAAACUCAAAUGAAUUGACGGGGGCCCGCACNAGCGGUGGAGCAUGUGGUUUAAUUCGAUGCAACGCGAAGAACCUUACCUGGUCUUGACAUAUCUAGAAUCCUGCAGAGAUGCGGGAGUGCCUUCGGGAAUUAGAAUACAGGUGCUGCAUGGCUGUCGUCAGCUCGUGUCGUGAGAUGUUGGGUUAAGUCCCGCAACGAGCGCAACCCUUGUCCUUAGUUACCAGCGGGUUAAGCCGGGAACUCUAAGGAUACUGCCAGUGACAAACUGGAGGAAGGCGGGGACGACGUCAAGUCAUCAUGGCCCUUACGACCAGGGCUACACACGUGCUACAAUGGUAGGUACAGAGGGCAGCUACACAGCGAUGUGAUGCGAAUCUCAAAAAGCCUAUCGUAGUCCAGAUUGGAGUCUGCAACUCGACUCCAUGAAGUAGGAAUCGCUAGUAAUCGCGGAUCAGAAUGCCGCGGUGAAUACGUUCCCGGGCCUUGUACACACCGCCCGUCACACCAUGGGAGUUGAUUGCACCAGAAGUGGUUAGCCGAACCUUUUAGGACGGC
rnacentral:rRNA from 1 species